UACGUAGGGUGCAAGCGUUAAUCGGAAUUACUGGGCGUAAAGCGUGCGCAGGCGGUUUUGUAAGUCAGAUGUGAAAUCCCCGGGCUUAACCUGGGAAUGGCAUUUGUGACUGCACGGCUAGAGUGUGUCAGAGGGGGGUAGAAUUCCACGUGUAGCAGUGAAAUGCGUAGAGAUGUGGAGGAAUACCGAUGGCGAAGGCAGCCCCCUGGGAUAACACUGACGCUCAUGCACGAAAGCGUGGGGAGCAAACAGG
rnacentral:rRNA from 1 species